rnacentral:lncRNA from 1 species
CUUGACUGGUUUCAUGGAGAGAAAGUUAAAACAUCAGAAAAAAAGCUGAGCAGUAAUGACAACAGGAUGACAGAAAUGUAAUUGAGUAAAUAUUUUUUUCCUUACAGAUGUAGAACCUAAAGUAAUAAGAAGUAUAAAGUACUGAUGCCAAAACCUACUCUGAAAAGCCCAUUUGUUCAAGAAAUUUAUAAGUAAGAGUAAAUGUUACUUUUUACUAAGUGUCCUACCUCUGAUCAAGAGUAAGUACCUAGCAUUAGGGUUAAAUGGAAGAUGUGCUGUUAGUAUGCAAUUUUGAGCCUCAUAAAUUGGAUUAGAUUCUUCUUCUUCUUCUUCCUCUUCUUACAUGAAAUAUGCUGAAAAAGGCUCCAGAAAGAAUUUCUGUACUCUAGCAUGUUCUCCCUUCCUUCAGUGAAUGCAACCGGGGCACAGAAUGGGAGAGACACAACCAAAAAUCCUUCACAAAAGACACAACUUUGAAAACAGAAUGACUUCAGUGUGAAGCCCUCUAAACACGUCGUUAAAAUAUCCCCAUCUUUCUACUUCGCACUACGGACAAAAUCUCCGAAACAGACAUUCCAUCUCUUCGUCCCUGUGCCGAAAGCUACAUUUCAGCUACUUUGCUCAUUAGUCUUCCAAUUGCUGUUUGACUCCUUAAAUUAUUUAGGGGUUUGUGAUUCUUUGUGUGCACACAGUAUGACGGCCAUCGUGUCCUCAUUCUCUCGCUCUUGUUCAUUGCCUCCCUCCUCCCCCUCCUCAUUUGGCUCCCCUCUUUGAGAGACACUCAGGUGUGGCCAGACCUGCCAUAGCACCGUAAGAGAGGGACGAGAGGGCAGCCUGCAUUUCCUGACCUGGGUUUCCAGCAGCAGCACUCAUGAGCUUCUCAGAUCACCUGGAAGCGUACAUGACCAAGGAAUGGAAGAAGCAAUAUAUCAGCUAUUCGCUCUUGGAGGCGAUGCUUUGCGCUGGUGUGAGGCACAGGUCCUCCUCGGAUGGGGGUAAGGUAGCACUUUUACAUACUACACAGCUACUAAAAAGCUUCUAUCUAUCUAUCUAUCUAUCUAUCUAUCUAUCUAUCUUCAGGUAUUUUGGCUGACAGUGGGUGGGAUAUCAGGGCUGUAUUGUAUGACAAUAGUACCACAUACAGCUGUGUGACCUGGACAGUUACUACUUCUGGUACAGGGACUUCCUUUAACUAACAGCGAUUAAUUCUGCCUGAAUAAUUCAUGGCCAAACUAAACAAAAGCAAUACCUUUUAUACUUGGAUGGAGAAGCAAAUUGUAAGAGGAGGAGUCUACCAACAUGGUCUACUACCCACUUAUUCAGUAAAAUGUCACAAAUAAUACAAUCCACUUGCUCAUCACAAAUUCUGAUAAAAAUAACUAGUAAUUGAUUAUUAUUAUUAUUAUUAUUUUGAAGGCACCAAGGUACGAAACACAUUGAGUCAAAUUUGCAAUGCAUGUGCAGAUGAACUGCGGUAAGCGUAUAUUUAAAGCAACCCAAGCGAGCUCUCCCUUCACUCUACCCCUCCUACAUCUCCCUGGGGUCCUGCUAUGAUAAUGACGUGCAGUGCCCAGUGCUAUUGUCUGCAAUAACAAUACAGAGAAAGACAGAUGGAUUCAGAUAAACUUGCCAAGCUCGCUAUGAAUGCCUCCAAAACCAUCAUUCUUUCCCUGGUAAGGACUGGUAAGUACCUUUCUAACAAUAACUCUCUCAUCC